UGCUUUAAAUUCAACCAAUAAAUUACAUUUACAUAACAACGAUUUGCAGGAAAGUUUUUACCCAAUAGUUCGGCUAUUACCACCGUGUCCCUCAUCUGCUGGACCUAUAUCUUCUCUUACCUUCCUGUCUUUGCCGUACCUUUCGUUGAUAACAUGUCGAUGGUAACUGUGUCUUCUUUCGCUCUCUCAGCGAACGUUAUCGCAAACCCUUUUAUCUACACCAUGAGCUACAACAGUUUCAGAAAGGUUGUCGUGGAGUGCUUGUUGCAGAGAACGGGCUGCAUGCGGAGGAAACUAACAAGUGUCAGCACGAACCAAGAGGUUAAAAGCAGG